AUUGAACGCUGGCGGCAGGCCUAACACAUGCAAGUCGAACGAGUGGCGGACGGGUGAGUAAUGUCUGGGACCCUGCCUGAUGGAGGGGGAUAACUACUGGAAACGGUAGCUAAUCCCGCAUACCAGCCGAUGAGCCCAGAUGUGAUUAGCUAGUUGGUGGGGUAACGGCUCACCAAGGCGACGAUCCCUAGCUGGUAUGAGAGGGUGACCAGCCACACUGGAACUGAGACACGGUCCAGACUCCUACGGGAGGCAGCAGUGGGGAAUAUUGCACAAUGGGCGAAAGCCUGAUGCAGCCAUGCCGCGUGUAUGAAGAAGGCCUUCGGGUUGUAAAGUACUUUCAGCGGGGAGGCGUUACCCGCAGAGGAAGCACCGGCUAACUCCGUGCCAGCAGCCGCGGUAAUUC
rnacentral:rRNA from 1 species